GAUAAUAAAAUAGAUCAGGGCUUUAUGUUUUAUUUUUAGAUUUAAAAUAUCCUUCAUACUCGUACUCAAGCUUAUAAAUAUUUUAAAUUAAAUAUCAAUUUAAUUAAUUCGAAUUCAUAAAUCAACAACAUAACUUCUUUAAAUUAAAAAAAAUCCAUAAAAUUACUUGAUAACUUGAAUUCAACAUGAGGUCACGGUACAUAAUAAAAGCAUAAAACAAAAAAAAAUCCAUAAAAUUACUUGAUAACUUGAAUUCAACAUGAGGUCAUGGUAUAUAAUAAGCAUAAAAUAAAAAACAACAUAACCAAAAAGCCAAUUCAUACCAUACAAUGCUUUCAUUAAAUUUGAAAAUACUACCUAUUUUCUCAGGGAAGGGAAAAAGGGGAAGAUAAACUAGCCACUCAGCGCUUUCCAC
rnacentral:lncRNA from 1 species